AGUGCGUACUAGGUUCUUCGGCUUUUCGUCGGUUUUCUUGUUGUGGCCUUUAUUGGUGGCGGCAAGUGGCUGACAAUUUUACUUUGAACAAAUCAGAGUGCUCAAAACAGGCGUUUCGCUUGUAUGUUUUUGCAUGGAAUAAUAGAAUAUGACUUCGGUCUAGUUUUAUUGGUUUUAUUGAUCGUUGUAAUGAUUAAAAGAGACAAACGGGGGCAUUCGUAUUGUUGCGUGAGAGGUGAAAUUCUUGGACCGCAGCAAGACGACCUACAGCGAAAGCAUUUGCCAAGCUUGUCUUCAUUAAUCAAGAACGAAAGUCAGAGGAUCGAAGGUGAUCAGAUACCGCCCUAGUUCUGACCGUAAACGAUGCCAACUAGCGAUUCGCCAGUGGAAUAUUUGCCCUGGCGAGGAGCUUCCCGGAAACGAAAGUCUUCCGGUUCCGGGGGAAGUAUGGUUGCAAAGCUGAAACUUAAAGGAAUUGACGGAAGGGCACCACCAGGAGUGGAGCCUGCGGCUUAAUUUGACUCAACACGGGAAAACUCACCCGGCCCGGACACUAUAAGGAUUGACAGAUUGAUAGCUCUUUCAUGAUUUGGUGGAUGGUGGUGCAUGGCCGUUCUUAGUUCGUGGAGUGAUUUGUCUGGUUUAUUCCGAUAACGAGCGAGACUCUAGCCUACUAAAUAGUUCGCUCAUUGUUUAUUGUGUAGCGGUACUUCCUAGAGGAAUUUUCGG
rnacentral:rRNA from 1 species